GCCAGGUUCCUCUGUCCGUGGGAUUCUCCAGGCUGGGGGCUAAUUUCCAAGAGUGAGGAAGCAAGAGCCACCUGUCCCAUGGCAAGUUGGGCCUGACCCUGGCAGGACAGUCAUGUCUGCCAUCGUUGAAGUCACAGCAUUAAGGGAACUGGAAUGCAAAAGUAGGAAGUCAAGAGAUACCUGGAGUAACAGAAAAGUUUGGCCAUGGAGUAUAAAAUGAAGCAGGGCAAAGUCUAACAGAGUUUUGCCAUGAAAAUGCACUGGUCAUAGCAAACACUCUUUUCCAACAACACAGAGAUGACACAUGGACAUCAACAGAUGGCUAACACCAAAAGCAUAUUGAUUAGAUUUUUUGCAGCCAAAGAUUGAGAAACUAAAAUGGACUGGAAUGGGUGAAUUUAACUCAGAUGACCAUUAUAUCUACUACUGUGGGCAGGAAUCCCUUAGAAGAAAUGGAGUAGCCAUCAUGGUCAACGGAAGAGUCAGAAAUGCAGUACUUGGAUGCAACCUCAAAACGACAGAAUGAUCUCUGUUCGUCUCCAAGGCAAAACAUUCAAUAUCACAAUAACAAGUCUAUGCCCCAACCAGUAAUGCUGAAGAAGCUGAAGUUGAAUGGUUCUAUGAAGACCUACAAGACCUUUUAGAACUUACACCCCCAAAAGACGUCCUUUUCAUUAUAGGGGACUGGAAUGCAAAAGUAGGAAGUCAAGAAACACCUGGAGUAACAGGCAAAUUUGGCCUUGGAAUACAGAAUGAAGCAGGGCAAAGGCUAAUAGAGUUUUUCCAAGAGAACAUACGGGUCAUAGCAAACACCCUCUUCCAACAACACAAGAGAAGACUCUACAUGUGGACAUCACCAGAUGAUCGACACUGAAAUCAGAUUGAUUAUAUUCUUUGCAGCCAAAGAUGGAGAAGCUCUAUUCAGUUAGCAAAAACAAGACCAGGAGCUGACUGUGGCUCAGAUCAUGAACUCCUUACUGCCAAAUUCAGACUCAAAUUGAAGAAAGUAGGGAAAAACAUUGGACCAUUCAGUAUGACCUGAAUCAAAUCACUUAUGAUUAUACAGUGGAAGUGAGAAAUAGAUUUAAGGGCCUAGAUCUGAUAGACAGAGUGCCUAAUGAACUAUGGAUAGAGGUUUGUGACAUUGUAUAGGAGACAGGGAUCAAGACCAUCCCCACGGAAAAGAAAUGCAAAAAAGCAAA
ensembl:lncRNA